GGGUGAGUAACACGUGGAUAGCCUACCUAUAAGACUGGGAUAACUUCGGGAAACCGGAGCUAAUACCGGAUAAUAUAUUGAACCGCAUGGUUCAAUAGUGAAAGACGGUUUUGCUGUCACUUAUAGAUGGAUCCGCGCCGCAUUAGCUAGUUGGUAAGGUAACGGCUUACCAAGGCAACGAUGCGUAGCCGACCUGAGAGGGUGAUCGGCCACACUGGAACUGAGACACCGUCCAG
rnacentral:rRNA from 1 species